UCUUACUUGUAGAUGUUCUGUUAUUUAGAGUACUUCAGCUUCCAGUAUCUAUAUAUUAAUCAAAUUAUGGGUUAUUUUGAACCUUAUAGGCUUUUAUAUUAUGUUCAGUUAUGCUUCCAUGGGUUUUUCAUAUGUAUUAACAAAAGAACCAGACUACUAUUUUGUUUAUACUUGAAUCAAAGGACGUAUAAUUAAUUUGCUAUUAUGGAAGGACUGAGUAGGCAGCUAGCUGAAUGAGAGGACAAUCAUGACAAGCAAACCAACACAUAAAUAGUAAUCCCACAAAUUUUUACAACUGCAUUCCAGUGAACUUUGGUAUGGAUAUGCAUUUUUAUCCUUGGGGGUACUUUGGAUUUUAAGUGGGAAUCAUAGUUCUUUUCUUCUUAACUUUGGUAUGGCAAGCAAUGCAGGUGAUAUGCCUAAUGGUUGUUGCUGACGCUGAAAAAACUACUCUUGAAGCACUAGAAGUGCCCUCUCUAUGGUGCAUCACUCACUGGAUCCAGAUGGGCAACCUUCCGCUUCAAAAUUAGAAGAGCGCAUUUUUUGCCUGUUGUCAUUGCUUACAAAGAGGUUCUCAAAUUAUUUUUGUGGGCAAGAUAAAACUUAAAAGGUGAUCUGGGACAAGUGGAAGGAGGGAAGCCGCUGUAAGAUCGAUAAUAACUUGUCGACAAGAGCAUGUUCGUUCAGACGUUUCCUUACUAAAAGUUAUUUAUCUGUAGCAAGUGUUUCUAUUGGAACUAUCAAAUCCAAACUCCUAGGUGUCUAUGUCAGGAUGUAGGACUUUGUCCGGGCAGAGAUAUCCCCUUUGAUCUUUUCGUGAA